rnacentral:rRNA from 1 species
CCUACGGGUGGCAGCAGUGAGGAAUAUUGGUCAAUGGGCGGGAGCCUGAACCAGCCAAGUCGCGUGAGGGAAGACGGUCCUAUGGAUUGUAAACCUCUUUAGGCGGGGAGCAAUGCCGGGCACGUGUGCCCGGAGGGAGAGUACCCGCAGAAUAAGCAUCGGCUAACUCCGUGCCAGCAGCCGCGGUAAUACGGAGGAUGCGAGCGUUAUCCGGAUUUAUUGGGUUUAAAGGGUGCGUAGGUGGUUAAUUAAGUCAGCGGUGAAAGUUUGUGGCUCAACCAUAAAAUUGCCGUUGAAACUGGUUGACUUGAGUAUAUUUGAGGUAGGCGGAAUGCGUGGUGUAGCGGUGAAAUGCAUAGAUAUCACACAGAACACCGAUUGCGAAGGCAUCUCACGAAUCCGCGAUUGACGCUGAUGCACGAAAGCGUGGGUAUCAAACAGGAUUAGAUACCCUUGUAGUC